AUUGAACGCUGGCGGCAGGCCUAACACAUGCAAGUCGAACGAGUGGCGGACGGGUGAGUAAUGUCUGGGAAACUGCCUGAUGGGGGGGGAUAACUACUGGAAACGGUAGCUAAUAACGCCUACCAUCAGAUGUGCCAAGAUGGGAUUGGCUUGUUGGUGGGGUAACGGCUCACCAAGGCUACGAUCCCUAGCUGGUCUGAGAGGAGGACCAGCCACACUGGAAAUGAGACACGGUCCAGACUCCUACGUGAGGCAGCAGUGGGGAAUAUUGCACAAUGGGCGCAAGCCUGAUGCAGCCAUGCCGCGUGUAUGAAGAAGGCCGUCGGGUUGUAAAGUACUUUCAGCGGGGAGGCGUUACCCGCAGAAGAAGCACCGGCUAACUCCGUGCCAGCAGCCGCGGUAAUUC
rnacentral:rRNA from 1 species